rnacentral:rRNA from 2 species
ACGGGAGGCAGCAGUGGGGAAUAUUGGACAAUGGGGGAAACCCUGAUCCAGCGACGCCGCGUGAGUGAAGAAGUAUUUCGGUAUGUAAAGCUCUAUCAGCAAGGAAGAAAAUGACGGUACUUGACUAAGAAGCCCCGGCUAACUACGUGCCAGCAGCCGCGGUAAUACGUAGGGGGCAAGCGUUAUCCGGAUUUACUGGGUGUAAAGGGAGCGUAGACGGCAAAGCAAGUCUGAAGUGAAAUCCCGGGGCUCAACCCUGGAACUGCUUUGGAAACUGUUUAGCUAGAGUGCAGGAGAGGUAAGUGGAAUUCCUAGUGUAGCGGUGAAAUGCGUAGAUAUUAGGAGGAACACCAGUGGCGAAGGCGGCUUGCUGGACGACAACUGACGCUGAGGCGCGAAAGCGUGGGGAGCAAACAGGAUUAGAUACCCUGGUA